rnacentral:rRNA from 1 species
CCUACGGGUGGCAGCAGUGGGGAAUAUUGGACAAUGGGCGAAAGCCUGAUCCAGCCAUGCCGCGUGUGUGAAGAAGGCCUUCGGGUUGUAAAGCACUUUCAGUGGGGAAGAAAGCCUUGGGGCUAAUACCCUCGAGGAAGGACAUCACCCACAGAAGAAGCACCGGCUAACUCCGUGCCAGCAGCCGCGGUAAUACGGAGGGUGCGGAGCGUUAAUCGGAAUUACUGGGCGUAAAGCGCGCGUAGGCGGUCUGAUAAGCCGGUUGUGAAAGCCCCGGGCUCAACCUGGGAACGGCAUCCGGAACUGUCAGGCUAGAGUGCAGGAGAGGAAGGUAGAAUUCCCGGUGUAGCGGUGAAAUGCGUAGAGAUCGGGAGGAAUACCAGUGGCGAAGGCGGCCUUCUGGACUGACACUGACGCUGAGGUGCGAAAGCGUGGGUAGCAAACAGGAUUAGAUACCCCAGUAGUC